UAUAACAAAAAAGUACAACGCUCAAAACUACUCCGAUAUUAGGUUGAGUUAGUAAUAGUUGUAAACAGCCUUAAAUUACUCCGCGAAAUACUCGGAUUUAAACGUUGUCAAAUAUCUUAAAUCUUGUUCAUUCGGAGUUUUCAGUGAAAUCGUGGCAAAGGACUUCUUGAUGCUCCGGUAAAGUCGGUUUUAGAAAGCAAAAAACAGCUUUUGCUAGUGUUCCAAACACAAAAACUACUACCCAUAGCACAAUUAUUCAUUAAAAUCUGUGAAGAGAGACAUAUUAAACACUGUAAGUGGGUAACUUAGGAAUUGAGAUAAAAGCAUUGUUUUUCGGACUAUCAAUGUUUAGUUGCUGAAAGUUACGUUAAGUUUACAAAUACAUCAGAGGUUGACUACAAGAACUUCCGAAUAAUAUGAAUAAUGAGUUCAAAUUUGGUAAAUUUAAGUUA